AGGAGGUAACUCACUCGUCUCUACUGAGGAGAAGGUCAAGAGCAUUCCUCCCAGACUGCAGUCCAUCAAACAUUCACCCAGAGAAGAAGUGGACACAUCUGUGAUCAUGGAUACGAGUCGUGGCUGUGCCAUGGUGAAAGAACAUGAGGGGCUGAGCCUGGGGAGGAGGGGGGAGGAGGACGGACAAGGACACUGUGAGACCAGCAGAACAGUAUUCAUUCUUACUGAGACAUUAUAUUGGGUCAGACUUCCGAAUCUCAAUAUGAAAUUGAUUGGCAAUCCUCCCCAGUGGCCACAGCUGGUUUGCAUCCACACCGAGGAGGCAAUAAGGAUAAGAUUUAAAAUGUGGAGGAGGAAUAUUUGGUGGGGCCCACAAAUUAGAUCUAAAUACAUAAACCAUGAGUCAUGAGGCUUUCUGUCUUGGACUCAGUAUCAUCUUAUCUGCGUCCUUCUUCCUGUUCACUUUUAGUAAUUGAGUAAAGUCUUUUGUCCCAGUGUGUCACCGUUAAUUGUGACAAAGGAGACAUUAAGAUGUUGCUGAUGUUAUCCAGUUGCGUUUGGUGAAUUAUUGGUUAACAUUUUAAAGGUUGCUUUCCUGCUGCAGCCAGCUGUGCUGAAAAACAAGUCAGCAGUUGGGGAGAAAUGUUACUAUUUUCCCUCUUUUCCUGAAUAAAUGAGAAGAUCAAUAACAGACUUAUGUCUGCUGCUUAAGAUGCAACUGAAGCUAAAUAUAUAGCAGCAGCCGGUAUGCUGCUUGG